AUUGAACGCUGGCGGCGUGCCUAACACAUGCAAGUCGAGCGGUAACAGGCGUAGCAAUACGUGCUGACGAGCGGCGAACGGGUGAGCAAUGCUUCGGAAUCUGCCCUGUAGUGGGGAAUAACCAGCCGAAAGGUUGGCUAAUACCGCAUACGCCCCCUUUCUUGGUUGAAAGGUGGGAAAGCGGGGGACCGUAAGGCCUCGCGCUAUUGGAUGAGCCGAAGUCGGAUUAGCUAGUUGGUAGGGUAACGGCCUACCAAGGCGACGAUCCGUAGCUGGUCUGAGAGGACGACCAGCCACACUGGGACUGAGACACGGCCCAGACUCCUACGGGAGGCAGCAGUGGGGAAUAUUGGACAAUGGGGGCGAACCCUGAUCCAGCGACGCCGCGUGUGUGAAGAAGGCCUGCGGGUUGUAAAGCACUUUUAGUGGGGAUGAAAAGCUCGGGGAUAACACCUCCGGGUCUUGACCUAACCCACCAGAAAAAGCACCGGCUAACUCUGUGCCAGCAGCCGCGGUAAC
rnacentral:rRNA from 1 species